CAGCGUCUUCACGAUUGACCAAACGACAACAACAACGGCUCCCAAGCGUACCUCUCCCCGUCAAAAUAGAUAGAAGUCGAGCCAGUAUCCUCUUCCUCUGUCCCUUUCUGCUUUUGUACAGUGUUUUCGGCAGGAGCAGGCCUCCAAUGUCGUCCUUGGAAUCGGGAGAUUACUCUAUGUCGACACCAAGGACGUUUAAUAGAUCCUAGACGUCGAUUUCCCCUUCCUUUUUCAGAAUGCAUUUGAAACAUCAUAAAAAGAAUGUUCGUGCAAUUCGGUGAAAGUUCAGACGUUUUUGAAUUUCGAUUUGGGGCUUAUUUUUGAAUUUUUUUCAUCCAUUUUUCCCUUCAAUGGAACCCUAAUUCUUCCCUAUAUAUACUCUCAUUGGUUCCACUGUUAAAGGGGGAUUUGGGGGAACUUUUUUUUUUCUUUCUUUGAAAAAAGAGUAGGAAAAUCUGUUUGAAGAGCUUGAGUUAGAGAUUUCUUAGACAAAAGUUUGUUGGAUAUCUCUAGUUGGGGGAAGUUGUUAGAAAAUAUUUUUUUAGCCGGAAAUCUUGAUCGAAAGCAAAGUACAUGCAGAAUUCUUAGAGAAAGUGGUCAAAAUAUAUACCAAAGUUUAGAACAUAGUUAAUCCUAGCCAAAAUCUUUCUGCUCCAUCUCGUCGCUCGCACUCACACUAAAUGUAGUCGGAAUCGAGAUUUCUGCUCGAUUUCGUUGUUCACUAGUCGAGGUUAGUGGUGAAUUUUCUGCACUCUUCCUCCUCGUCUCCAGUUGCUGCACUUCGAAAGGAUUGAUUGUGAAUGAUGUUUUUCAAGUGGCUGUCAUUAUUGAGAAGUUACCUCCAUUGUGGAAGGACUUCAAAAACUACUUGAAAUAUAAACGCAAGGAGAUGACUGUUGAAGAUCUCAUAGUAAGUUUGAGAAUCGAAGAGGAUAACAAAGCUGCAGAAAAGAGGUCACGUGGUAAUUCAGCAUAUCUGGAGUAAAUAUUGUCGAAGAAGAUCCCACAAAAUUAAAGAAAAGAAAGAAAACAUCUGGUCCAAAAAACAAUCCUCCUAAGAAGAAAUUCAAAUGGAAGUUGAUUCAAUUAUGGUAAAUGUGGUUAUAUGGCUACUGAAUAUAGGGGUCCGAAGAAGGACAAGAAGAAGAAGGAUCAAACAAAUUUGGUUGAAUCCAAAGGAGCAACGGACUACUCUAUGCAAUGCUUUAGAAUGUAACUUGGUUGGACAUCCAAGAAGAUUGUGGAAGAUUCAGGUGCCUCAUGGCAUGUUUGUGCCAAUAAAGAAUUAUUUUCAUCAUAUACUCCAACACCUACAGAUGAGAAUUUUUUAUGGAAAACUCCACUGUUUCAAAGAUGGAAGGAACUGACAAGGUCCUUUUAAAGAUGAAAUCAAGCAAAGUGGUGAUUUUGAACAGGGUCUCAUAUGUUCUUGAACUGCGCAAGUGUUGGGAUAUUGCCUAUGUUCCAGCCAAAUGUCCAUGGCCUAAUCCUACUUGGAAAAAGGAUUGAAAUUAUUCUCUUUAUUUGGUUUCCAAUUCUAUUAGGAAAAGAAUUGGAAUUGUAAUCCUAUUUGUAGUUGUUUUGGCUUUGUAAGGAAAAGAACAACUCUAUAAAUAGAGGAUGGUUUGAGAGAAUAAGUAAUUGUUCAUUGGUAUUGUCAUUGAAAGACAUUAGAACAUAAGUGAGGUUCUUUGAGAGAGCUUUCAACAAGAGAAAAAGAGAUAAAGAAAAGGGUUCUUUUGCUAUAGUCUUUUUCUCUUACCAACAACAUUCAGAUCGUGUUUCCAGAACCGUUGGAUCGGGCUGAAAUUUGGAUUGAGUGUUCCUGACAUCUUGGUGGUUGAUUUGAACGGUGAAGAUCGGAUUGAAGGUCAGCAGGAUCAAAUUUUAGGUCUCGAACAGAAGCUGGAUUUGGGUGGUAUUUCUUUCUAUUUAUCUUUUGUUAAUAUAGCUAUUGUUUGUUCUCUUUUGGCACUUGUUGUGUAGCCAUUAGAAGAAUAUUUGUAACCUUCUUAUUGGUAUGGUGAAGCAAUUCGGAUCUUGUCGAUCCCGUGGUGGUUACUUUCGGUUUGAAGGGUUUUUCCACAUUAAA